rnacentral:rRNA from 1 species
GUGGCAGACGGGUGAGUAAUAUGUGGGUAUCUUCCCUUUGGUGAGGAAUAACACGAGGAAACUUGUGCUAAUACCUCAUAAGUCUUUACGGAGAAAGCUUUAUGCGCCAAUGGAUGAGCCCGCACUUGAUUAGUUUGUUGGUGGGGUAAUGGCCUACCAAGACAAUGAUCAAUAGCUGAUUUGAGAGGAUGAUUAGCCACAUUGGGACUGAGACACGGCCCAAACUUCUACGGAAGGCAGCAGUAGGGAAUCUUGCACAAUGGAGGAAACUCUGAUGCAGCGAUGCCGCGUGAGUGAAGAAGGCCUUUGGGUUGUAAAGCUCUUUCGUCGGGGAAGAAAAUGACUGUACCCGAAUAAGAAGGUCCGGCUAACUUCGUGCCAGCAGCCGCGGUAAUACGAAGGGACCUAGCGUAGUUCGGAAUUACUGGGCUUAAAGAGUUCGUAGGUGGUUAAAAAAGUUGGUGGUGAAAUCCCAGAGCUUAACUCUGGAACUGCCAUCAAAACUUUUUAGCUAGAGUAUGAUAGAGGAAAGCAGAAUUUCUAGUGUAGAGGUGAAAUUCGUAGAUAUUAGAAAGAAUACCAAUUGCGAAGGCAGCUUUCUGGAUCAUUACUGACACUGAGGAACGAAAGCAUGGGUAGCGAAGAGGAUU